UACGUAGGGUGCGAGCGUUGUCCGGAAUUAUUGGGCGUAAAGGGCUCGUAGGCGGUUUGUCGCGUCGGGGAGUGAAAACUCAGGGCUUAACCCUGAGCCUGCUUCCGAUACGGGCAGACUAGAGGUAUGCAGGGGAGAACGGAAUUCCUGGUGUAGCGGUGAAAUGCGCAGAUAUCAGGAGGAACACCGGUGGCGAAGGCGGGUCUCUGGGCCGAUACUGACGCUGAGGAGCGAAAGCGUGGGGAGCAAACAGG
rnacentral:rRNA from 1 species